CACCCGUGCGGUCAUGUGCGGCGACGAGCUGUCGCCACGGUGGUUGUCGCCGCAGCGCAUGCGCGUACACAGGGGCGGCAAGCGAGCCUUUUGUUCUCGUUUGCCAAAUGCGCAAACACAGUGCAAUCUCUUCAUUGCACCCGAACUGUAGGCCAGCCAGCCAAGCUAGCUCGCGAUGCGCUCUUGUCUAGCGACUCGAGCGCGUGAUACUUGUUCUAUUCCCGAGCCGGCCGCGUCAAAGCGCGCCGUAUGCCGCCAGUCACGCUGGCUGCGUGGUGACGCUAGACUGUACAGAGCGUCCGCUUCGCGCCGCGUAGCGUGACUGCAUCGCGCGUGGCGCCAGACUGUAUCCGCGCCUUAAGUGCUGGGCGAGUUGUCACGUGGUGCAUGGUUGAUCUAAGGUGAAAGCCAGCGAAAAGAAGUUCCCAACGCGUAGGCCGAGCGUGUGUGCGGCGGCUGUCCCCGUGCGAUAAUGGCACCGCGGAACGAGCCACUCCUGCUGCUUUGAAGCUACGGACGCGUAAGCAACGUCGGCGAGUGCUUGAAACGAAGCAGGUUGGCUGGUGGUUCCGACUCGUACGCUGCUAAUCAUGUUUAUUGCGCAAGGGAAUAACUCGGCAGUGCCUUCCGCCCUUCAGAAAAUCUUCGGAAAGUGCAGGGCACAAUUGAAGAGCGUGGAGUGCGACGUGCGCCUGAAGAGUCACGACCCAGCGAGUUGUCGGAAAGGCUGAGUUUCCGGAGGGCUGCGUGGAACUACGCCGAGGUUGUAGGCGCACCACAUAUCGGUUCGGGAACUGUCGAGCAUUCUCUGGGACCCAGGAGCGUAUUCCCGCACCGGGAACAAAAGGUACAAACAAGGUGCCUCGUUUCGUUCACCGAGGACAACAGGAAAACCUACUGCGAGCCUCGUUUCACGCAAGAAAAUAAAGAAAAGAAGAGGGCUCGGUGAUUAUUUGCGACAUUCUUCAUUAAUCCAGAAACGUUAAACUUCUAGCGCACUCGUCAAAACACACUUAAAUAUGCACACCGUUUUCGCCGAAAUUGAACAGUUAUUUUAGAACUAUGAGGAACAUUGCCAAUAACGGCAGCAUGACACUCUGGAACGCUUGAGUAAGCGGUUUCCUA